UGACUUGUCACAUUUUCAAAAUACAACGCUCAAUUAAGCUAUUAUGUUUUUUUGGUGCUACUCAUUUAUUUUUUCUGAAACUUAUGCUUUUCUUAGUGUUCAUUCUUAGUCGUCAUUGAAGUACAACUUGGUAAACUACAAAACACAUCAAAUUCAGUUAUAAAAAUUUGAGUAACAAAGGUAUGCUAAUUAUUGUAUUGCCUGAAAGAGUGUCAUUGCAGUGAAGAAUUCGAGUACUCUGGAAGAAAAGAAAAUACAUUUUAAAAGCAAUACAAGAUUGAAUUUAGCAGAAGGCUAAAUUACUGCUCUGGAGUCAAAAAAGGAAUACAGCAAAAAUGACCAGUCAAAAUAAAGAUUAAAGAGACAAAAAGAGUAUUGAGUAUAUCUCUACACCUAAUUUUCUUAUAAUAAAACAAAAAAUGUUAUCAAACUUUGGGAUUUACCUGUAACUCCAAACUCUUUACAGAAGUUCAAUGUUUGCUCUGAGAAGUUGAAUGAACAAAUUUAUAAAAUGAUAAAGUUGUAUCCUUGAAAGAUAUGCUGGUAUUAUUGACACAACGGGCAAGCAUUGAAGUGCAACUUGCUGAACUACAAAACACAUCAAAUUCAGUUAUAAAAAUUUGAGUAACUAAGGUAUGCUAAUUAUUGUAUUGCCUGAAAGAGUGUCAUUGCCAUUAAAAGCAGUAAAGAAUUUAAGUACUCUGGAAGAAAGAAGACAAGAAAAUACUUUAGUAAAUGGUUAAUUAUUUGGCACAAAUUGGAGUUAAAAAAAAAGGAGAUUGUAU